AUUGAACGCUGGCGGCAUGCUUUACACAUGCAAGUCGAACGGUAACAGGGUGCUUGCACCGCUGACGAGUGGCGAACGGGUGAGUAAUGCGUCGGAACGUGCCGAGUAGUGGGGGAUAACGCAGCGAAAGUUGUGCUAAUACCGCAUACGUACUGAGGUAGAAAGUGGGGGACCUUCGGGCCUCACGCUAUUCGAGCGGCCGACGUCUGAUUAGCUAGUAGGUGAGGUAAAGGCUCACCUAGGCGACGAUCAGUAGCGGGUCUGAGAGGAUGAUCCGCCACACUGGGACUGGGACACGGCCCAGACUCCGACGGGAGGCAGCAGUGGGGAAUUUUGGACAAUGGGCGAAAGCCUGAUCCAGCCAUGCCGCGUGUCUGAAGAAGGCCUUCGGGUUGUAAAGGACUUUUGUCAGGGAGGAAGGGUGGUGUGUUAAUAGCACAUCAUUUUGACGUUACUCGCAGAAGAAGCACCGGCUAACUCUGUGCCAGCCGCCGCGGUAAAAC
rnacentral:rRNA from 1 species